GGGGUUGGACAGGUGUGGUAAGUAUAAAUGCGUUGGUAUUUUCUUACUUUUAAGACAUUGCGUGGAUGGUAACAUUAACAUAUGGCUUUGCUUUGUUUACAUUUUAGAAUUUCAGGAAAUUUACAUAGGUCAGUUUAAUUGAGUUUAAAAUUAAUUUUUGUUUCUAUUUUCAGGUAUUUUCGCCAGAAGGACGGAAGCACCGAGCCACAGGAGUCAUUGCCGGUGGGGAAUGGGGGUUAUUUGUCCCAGUUCUUUGCAGCCGCAGGCUGCGCGCUAAUUUCGAAUUUGAGUGGGGCCGGCGUUUCUGGUAAGUAUCAUUCAUGGUGGAAAUUUUUGCCAGCUGUUGUUGUUUUGCUUUUGAGUUUUCAUUUUGGUUUCAGCAGUUUCACCAGUCGUCAUUGUUUAAGCUUCGUAUGGAGAUUCCGCGCUGCCGUCAAUUUUGAUUUCCUUGGAGCCGCUGGCAACGUUUGGCGAUGGGGUCUGCUUAUUUUGGGCAGAGAAGUCGUCGCUUUCAGUGGAGUUUGUUGUUGCCAGCGGCGCCGCGUCUGCCAGAUAGUUUGCAGGAGGCUGCCAACCCGCCCGUGGGUCUCAUCGCCAGCCGUCAAAGGUCCAAAGCGCAGUGGAUUCCCGCGCCGCCGUCUUAUUCCAAGGUCCAGGGAGUUGCUGCAUUUCAGCUGGAGUUCUACAUUGCGUAGUGGAUUCCCGCGCCGCCGUCUUAUUCCAGGGUCCAGGGAGUUGCUGCACUUCAGCUGGAGUUCAUCAGGGUAUCGGCGAGAGCGUCGUCAUUGAUUUGGAAUCAUAAGGGUCGUCGCUUUUGUAGGUCGUCUCGCCAGGGAAAAGGAAGCAUCUUUUGGACGCCGGGCCAAGAUGCUUUGCUUUGGGCCGUCGCUCGUAAAAGUCCAUGGAAUUGGAUGCAGAAAAUUGGAUUAGAUAAGUAUAUCUAUGUGUUUAGUUUGGUUUUGUCUGAUUUUAGUUUUUUUUUUUCUUUUCUUUUGCAGGUCCAAAUUGUCCAGGAUUUUUCAAGAUUGUCCGGUGGGAUUGGAAAGGAAACAUUGCCAUGGAGUUAUAAGAAGCAUCGUUUGGGAGGGAUAUUGUCAGUAUACCGUUGCUACCAGGAAAAGGUGGAAUUUAAGGGUCACGAUUUUGACCUUUUGCCGGGUCAGCAGCGCCGCACUUGGAAUUCGUAAGGACGAGAAGGCAUCCCAAUAUGGAAACGGCAUCAAAACAUUUUAGGUUUUUAAUGUUUUAGGUGCCGAAAUCAUUGUUUUUCAUUUCGCCGAGUCGGGAAAUAGGAUUUUGACUGUAUACCGUUGCUGCCAGGGAGAAGUCGAAUUCAAGGGUCGCAAGAUUGACCUUUUGCCGGGUUAGCAGCGGCGCACCUAGAGUUCAGAGGGACGAGGGGGCAUCCCAACAUGGAAAUGGCAUCAAAACAUUAUACAUUUUUAAUGUUUUAGGUGCCAAAAACAUCGUUUUCCGUUGCGCCGAGUCG